rnacentral:rRNA from 1 species
AUUGAACGCUGGCGGCAGGCCUAACACAUGCAAGUCGAGCGGAUGAAGGGAGCUUGCUCCUGGAUUCAGCGGCGGACGGGUGAGUAAUGCCUAGGAAUCUGCCUGGUAGUGGGGGAUAACGUCCGGAAACGGGCGCUAAUACCGCAUACGUCCUGAGGGAGAAAGUGGGGGAUCUUCGGACCUCACGCUAUCAGAUGAGCCUAGGUCGGAUUAGCUAGUUGGUGGGGUAAAGGCCUACCAAGGCGACGAUCCGUAACUGGUCUGAGAGGAUGAUCAGUCACACUGGAACUUAGACACGGUCCAGACUCCUACGGGAGGCAGCAGUGGGGAAUAUUGGGCAAUGGGCGAAAGCCUGAUCCAGCCAUGCCGCGUGGGUGAAGAAGGUCUUCGGAUUGUAAAACACUUUUAGUUGGGAGGAAGGGCAGUAAGUUAAUACCUUGCUGUUUUGACGUUACCAACAGAAUAAGCACCGGCUAACUUCGUG